AUGGGCGCAAGCCUGAUGCAGCCAUGCCGCGUGUGUGAAGAAGGCCUUCGGGUUGUAAAAGCACUUUCAAGCGAGGGAGGAAAAGGCACUCGAUACCUUAAAUAACCGUGUAGGUGUAUUGGAACGUUAACUCGGACAGGAAAAAAGGCCCCCGGUUAUGCUCGCCCC
rnacentral:rRNA from 1 species